AAAAAAUAAAUAUUAAAAAUGGAUAAAGGACCUGAAUGGAUAUCUUUCCACAGGAUCAUGGAAAUGCAAGUCAAAACCACAGUGAAAUAUUAUUAUGUCACAGUUAAGAUUGCUACUAUAGGAGAGAAAAAAGAAAACCAGUGUUGGCAAGGUUAUGGGGACCAUGGAACCCUUGUGCACUGGUAGAAAGGUAAACUGAUACAGCCAUUUUUUUUUUCUCAAAAAAGAAUGAAACUAUAAUUACCCUGUGAUGCAUCAAUCCCAGUUUGGGGUGUAUAUCCAAAGGAAAUGAAACAGGAUCUCAAAGAGACAUCUGCACCCUAUGUUCACUUCCGCAUUGCGCACUGUUGCCAAGACACUGAAACAACCUAAGUGUUGCAUGGGUGAAGAUUAUGUGGGUCAUGGACAUGAAAAGUCUAGCGAAAAGAAUAUAGUGAAUGAUAUUGUAAUACCACGGUAUAGUGAGAGAUGAUGAUUACACUUACUGUGUAAUACUGAGUAGUGUAUGUAAUUGUCAAAUAACUGUGCCGUACACCUGAAACUAAUAUAAGAUUGUAUGUGCAUUAUACUUUAAUGUUAGAGAAAAUGUGAAUGUUAUUUGGUCAUGGAAAAGAAGGAAAUUCUGCUAUUUGUGUCAACAUGGAUGUAACUGCAGGACAUUAUAUUCAGUGAAAAAAGCCAGAAAGAGAAAGACAAACACUGGGUGCUAUCAUCUAUCCAUGGACUUAAUAAAAAUAAAGAAGUCAACUCACAGAAACAAAUAGUAGGAUGAUGGUUACCAGUGGCUGGGACGUGGGGCACAUGGAGAGAUAUUGGUGUAAGGAGAAGAACAUUCAGUUAUAAGAUGAAUAAGUUAUGAGGGUCUAAGGUAUAGCAUGGUGACUGUAGUUAUAAUACUGUAUUAUGCUCUCGAAACUUGCUAAGGAAAUAGAUCUUAAGCUUGCUUACCAAAAAAAAAAAAAAAAAAAAAAAAAAGGAAAGGAAGAAAGAAAAAUUUUCAGGUGAUUGUGAGGUGAUGUGCUCAUUAAUUUGCUUGCAGUAAUCAUUUUUUAAGGAAUAUGUACUAUAAGUCAUCAGAUUGUACACUUUCAAUAUAUGUAGUUUUAUGUGCUUAUUAUACCUGAACAAAUCUGUGAAAAAUAUUUGCAAUGGUAAAUACGAGGUUAUGAGAAUUUUUCCACCCUUCACUAUAACUAAUAAAAGUAAUGCUUCUAGUUGGUAAAGCAUGCAAGCAACCAACCAGACAGGUGCAAUAGGCGGAGCCCUCCCUUGUUACCUUUUCCCGUCUCCGAGCCCUCCUCCAGGCCCACAGCUUGCCCCGCCCAUCGCACCCUCCUGGCCAAUGGCCAGCCGGCGGCCAGGCCGGAAGUGAUGUGGACAGCCGCCAAGGUUUGGGCCUCCUGUGGCUUCUGAGGCCUCACUGGGAGCGGGGCGUGGAAAACUAGCUCUAGAAAAUGAAAGCUGUAAUAGUAGGAAGAAGAACAACGACCGAAAGCCUGGUGGAAUAACGCGAAGGGUAGAAGCUGGGAAUCAGAGCCCAAAUUGUAAGAGAACAAAUGGAGAAGACAGAUAGCGCCCGAAGGAGCCUGGGCUGAGUCCACACUGAAGACAGAGAAUGGAGAGAGGAGCUGGAAGACAGGAUAUCAGCAAGUUUGGAAGAUGAGAAUAUCGCAAAGAAGAACAAGGCCAUGGUGGAGCAGGUGGUGUCCAGAGGAGGGGAUAAUAAGCACAAGUGGAGUCCAGAAAACUGAAGGGAAACCCAGGAAUGCAAGAGGAAGCAGCGUGAGCUGAGCGGGGAGGACCUGGAGAGUCACAGUCCAGUGAGCCUGUGCCCCUGCCAUAGAGCCCCACAAGAUGGAUCGGGAUUCAUUUGUACUGCUGGAGAACUGUACCAGUUCCCAGAGGAGGAGGAGGUGCCAACGAGGCUGUGCCCCAGAUCCUGAGCUUCAACCUUGGAGCUGCCUUACGGUGGAUGUCUUCAAAGGACCCUAGACUGCGACCAGAUUUCCACUCCUUGGGACACUGCCUGCCAACACCUGGGUUCCAAGGUGGCCCAAAGCAGCCGACACUUCCCAGGUCUCCGGAGGAAACUGCUAGUAUCGGUAGCUCCCGCCUCUGUCUUGGCCAGAUGGAGAAAUCGAGGCUAGUUCACAAAUACUAAUAGGGGUGUCCUUGCCCUAACGAUCAGUGAUGUUGUGCCUUUGUGUCUGAGAACUUCCGUGCUUUCCAGACUUCAGUAUUCUCUCUCCAUAUAAAAAUCAUGUAAAUAGGGGUGCCCGGGUGGCUCAGCCGUUGAGCUUCUGCCUUUAGUUCAGGUCUUGAUCCCAGGUUCCUGGGAUGGAACCCCACCUCGGGCUCCCUGCUCAUUGGGGAGCCAGCUUCCCCCUCACCCACUGGCCCUGCUUGUGUUCCCUCUGUCACUGUGUCUCUCUCUGACAAAUAAUAUAAUUGAAGUCUUCCAGAAAUGUGCAUAGUGGCCAUAUUGUAGAUCAAGUAACUAAAAACAACAGAGAGGCCUGGAAACGAUUGCUGGGGUAAAUUAAAGGCAAUCUAAAUGAAUAGAAAGACAUCUAUCCCAUGCAUAGAUGAGGAGACUCCAGGUGAUUGGUAUACCAAAUGAGUUUCAUUCGGAUUCACAUGGGAGAAGACACAUUGGGGGCAAAUGUGCAAGCUAAUUCUAAAAAUGUAUAUGCACAUCGAGGUACUGAGAUUAGCAACAUGGCCAUGAAGCCUUAAAUUGGGGAAAUUCACUCCAUGUCAAAACUCACCAUGAAGCUAUGGUCAUUAAAGCAUGACGUUAUGGUGUGAGUAAUCGCAAUGUAUA